UUAUAGGAUUUAUUCUUUAUUCAGAGCACAAUGUAAUAUUAGUUCAAGAUUCCAGCCAGGCAUUACGCAAACUGGUGUUAUAGCUUACAAGUAAAACUAGUCGUGUAUUGAGCUUGAGAUUUGAGUUUGCGUGUAGAUGGAUGCUACUUUUGAGCAUUUAAUUGACCAAUGGUUUUUUAUUUUGCAGAAAAGAGGUGCAAAUAUCUAUGCAGAAUUCCUUGGUGGAAGCUUCACAGGUGAUGCUUAGCCACACCUUGUAUGGUGCUGGUGUUCUUCUCCGCAUAGAAAAGGCAUUAGCUCAGUCUGGGGUGUCUAGGGAAGAUGUUAAUUACAUCCACACCAGUCGGAGACCUCAAAGAGUAUAAUGCUCUUGUUCAUUGUUUGGCAAGAAUCCUGAGUUGAGAGUAAACUCUACAGAAUCCAUGAUUGGCGACCUACUAGGAGCAGCUGGUGCUGUAGAACCUGUUGCAGCAGUAAAGGUAACUUAUUUGAUGUUUUCACCUUGGAAGUAC